rnacentral:rRNA from 1 species
UACGUAGGUGGCUAGCGUUAUCCGGAAUUACUGGGCGUAAAGGGUGCGUAGGUGGUUUCUUAAGUCAGAGGUGAAAGGCUACGGCUCAACCGUAGUAAGCCUUUGAAACUGGGAAACUUGAGUGCAGGAGAGGAGAGUGGAAUUCCUAGUGUAGCGGUGAAAUGCGUAGAUAUUAGGAGGAACACCAGUUGCGAAGGCGGCUCUCUGGACUGUAACUGACACUGAGGCACGAAAGCGUGGGGAGCAAACAGGAUUAGAUACCCUGGUAGUCCCUGA